rnacentral:rRNA from 1 species
UAUUUUGAACUGCAUGGUUCGAAAUUGAAAGGCGGCUUCGGCUGUCACUUAUGGAUGGACCCGCGUCGCAUUAGCUAGUUGGUGAGGUAACGGCUCACCAAGGCAACGAUGCGUAGCCGACCUGAGAGGGUGAUCGGCCACACUGGGACUGAGACACGGCCCAGACUCCUACGGGAGGCAGCAGUAGGGAAUCUUCCGCAAUGGACGAAAGUCUGACGGAGCAACGCCGCGUGAGUGAUGAAGGCUUUCGGGUCGUAAAACUCUGUUGUUAGGGAAGAACAAGUGCUAGUUGAAUAAGCUGGCACCUUGACGGUACCUAACCAGAAAGCCACGGCUAACUACGUGCCAGCAGCCGCGGUAAUACGUAGGUGGCAAGCGUUAUCCGGAAUUAUUGGGCGUAAAGCGCGCGCAGGUGGUUUCUUAAGUCUGAUGUGAAAGCCCACGGCUCAACCGUGGAGGGUCAUUGGAAACUGGGAGACUUGAGUGCAGAAGAGGAAAGUGGAAUUCCAUGUGUAGCGGUGAAAUGCGUAGAGAUAUGGAGGAACACCAGUGGCGAUGCGACUUUCUGGUCUGUAACUGACACU